rnacentral:rRNA from 1 species
GAUAAACGCUGGCGGCGCACAUAAGACAUGCAAGUCGAACGGACUUAAUCGAUUCUUUUAGAUUCGAAGCGGUUAGUGGCGGACUGGUGAGUAACACGUAAGCAACCUGCCUAUUAGAGGGGAAUAACAGUGAGAAAUCACUGCUAAAACCGCAUAUGCCGUGAACAUCGCAUGAUGAAAACGGGAAAAGAGCAAUCUGCUAAUAGAUGGGCUUGCGUCUGAUUAGCUAGUUGGUGUGGUAAAGGCAUACCAAGGCAACGAUCAGUAGCCGGACUGAGAGGUUGAACGGCCACAUUGGGACUGAGAUACGGCCCAGACUCCUACGGGAGGCAGCAGUCGGGAAUAUUGCGCAAUGGAGGAAACUCUGACGCAGUGACGCCGCGUAUGGGAAGAAGGUUUUCGGAUUGUAAACCAUUUUAGACAAGGAAGAAACAAGACAG